rnacentral:antisense_RNA from 1 species
CGUUGGCCUGGAAAGUUCUUCCAGGCUAAGCCUGACUCUUCACCAGACACUGCAGCACGAAGGCCCUUCUGCCUUUUGGCUCGCCCUGGCCCAGAAUGCGCACCAGCCGGUAGAGAGGAGCUUCGGGCCGUUUAGCCCUGGGGCAAGAGAAAGAGGCCCACUGCAAUAUGCUGUGAAGAAUACAUAAGAAGUCAAACUGUUGACCUCUUUUCCCCCAGCCCGUUCCAAAACUACAUCCCUGAGGAGUUGUGCACCUCUAGGGAAAGUUCAGAUGAAAGAGCUAAUUCCCCUUGAUCUCUCUUCUUGUUCAGAGUGGAGGAAAAACAUAUACCAUCCCUUCCAUCAAUCCUCAGCAUAACUUUGCCAGGGACACUGGUAACAAGCUACUUUUACCUCAGAAGUUGGAGAGUAUCACUUGACCCACAUUGUGUAUGUGUAAAUAUCUUUAUUCAGUGUAUAUACAAUAUAUUCUUAAUUUGACUCUCAAA